rnacentral:rRNA from 1 species
UUGGAGGGCAAGUCUGGUGCCAGCAGCCGCGGUAAUUCCAGCUCCAAUAGCGUAUAUUAAAGUUGUUGCAGUUAAAAAGCUCGUAGUUGAAUUUCGGGAUCAAUUUGCUGGUCGUGCCUCUGGUACGUACUGGUAUUAUUGGUUUCUCCCUUCUGACGAACCAUGAUGUCAUUAAUUUGAUGUCGUGGAGAAUCAGGACUGUUACUUUGAAAAAAUUAGAGUGUUUAAAGCAGCCAUUAGCUUGAAUACAUUAGCAUGGAAUAAUGAAAUAGGACGUUUGAUCCUAUUUUGUUGGUUUCUAGGAUUGACGUAAUGAUUAAUAGGGAUAGUUGGGGGCAUUAGUAUUCAAUUGUCAGAGGUGAAAUUCUUGGAUUUAUUGAAGACUAACUACUGCGAAAGCAUUUGCCAAGGAUGUUUUCAUUAAUCAAGAACGAAAGUUAGGGGAUCGAAGACGAUCAGAUACCGUCGUAGUCUUAACCAUAAACUAUGCCGACUAGGGAUCGGAUGAUGUUAAUUUUUUAAUGACUCAUUCGGCGCCUUACGGGAAACCAAAGUGUUUGGGUUC